rnacentral:rRNA from 1 species
UACGUAGGGCGCAAGCGUUUGUCCGGAAUUAUUGGGCGUAAAGAGCUCGUAGGCGGCCUGUUGCGUCCGCUGUGAAAUCCCGGGGCUCAACCCCGGGCCUGCAGUGGAUACGGGCUGGCUAGAGGCAGGCAGGGGAGAACGGAAUUCCUGGUGUAGCGGUGAAAUGCGCAGAUAUCAGGAGGAACACCGGUGGCGAAGGCGGUUCUCUGGGCCGAUACUGACGCUGAGGAGCGAAAGCGUGGGGAGCGAACAGG